rnacentral:lncRNA from 1 species
CGGCGGCAGGCCAGCCGGAGCACAACCCGGAGGCGAACGGCCUCCUGCAGAGCCUGGCCGCCGGCCUCACGGUGAAGACCGAGGGGCUGCCGGCCUUGGCCGCGGACCCGCAGGGCAGGGGCGCCGCCGCGCCGUUCUACCUCUCCUCCUCGACGCCGGCGAGCGGGUGUCUGGCGGCGGCCGAGCGCAGCCCGUUCUCGACGUCGGAGAACUGGGGCGUGUCGCCGGCGACCUCGGACUCCAACAACCACGUCGCCGCCUCCUACCUGCCGUUCGAGGACGCCGAGUGGCGGGGGCACAACGAGCUCCAGGAGGUCGUGUCCGCGCUCGUCGCCGCCAGCGCGCUGCCGCCGCUGCCCGCCGUGGACGGCUUCGACGAGUUCCUCGACUUGGACAUAGCGAGCUUCUUGGCGUGAUCCGAUCCUAGCGCCGAUCUCCGUAGCUGAUGAAAAAUAGGGAAAUCGAAGCAGCUGAUGUGAUG